UUCAACCUGAGAGUUUGAUCCUGGCUCAGAACGAACGCU
rnacentral:rRNA from 1 species